rnacentral:rRNA from 1 species
GUCUUUUAGAUUUUAAUUUAAGGUUUGGCCUGCUCUAUGAUAUUUAUUAAAUGGCUGCAAUAAUUUAAUUGUACAAAGGUAGCAUAAUCACUUGUUUUUUAAUUGGGAACUAGUAUGAAUGGUUUGAUGAGAAAUUUUUUUUAUUGAAUUAAUUAUUUUGAAUUUUAUUUUAAGUAAAAAUUCUUAAAUUUUUUUAUGGGACGAGAAGACCCUUUAGAAUUUUAUUUAAAUUUAUUUAUUUAUAUUUGUUUAAUGAUUAAGUAUUUAAUUUUUUGAAUUUGGUUGGGGUGAUUGGGGAAUUUUUAUAACUUUCUUUUUUUUUUUCAUUAAUUUUUGUUUUUUUGAUCCAUUAUUUUGAUUAUAAGAUUAAAUUACCUAAGGGAUAACAGCGUUAUUUAAUU